rnacentral:rRNA from 1 species
UGUCAGGGAAGAAACGGUCUGGGCAAAUACCCUGGGCUAAUGACGGUACCUGAAGAAUAAGCACCGGCUAACUACGUGCCAGCAGCCGCGGUAAUACGUAGGGUGCAAGCGUUAAUCGGAAUUACUGGGCGUAAAGCGUGCGCAGGCGGCCAUGCAAGACAGAUGUGAAAUCCCCGGGCUCAACCUGGGAACUGCAUUUGUGACUGCAUGGCUCGAGUACGGCAGAGGGGGAUGGAAUUCCGCGUGUAGCAGUGAAAUGCGUAGAUAUGCGGAGGAACACCGAUGGCGAAGGCAAUCCCCUGGGCCUGUACUGACGCUCAUGCACGAAAGCGUGUGGGAGCAAACAGGAUUAAUACCCCUGGUAGUCCACGCCCUAAACGAUGUCAACUGGGUUGUUGGGAGGGUUUC